rnacentral:misc_RNA from 1 species
CGGCUGAAGGAGGAAGAAGAAUAGGGGCUACCAAACCUGUUGAUAUAAUCCCAUGAGUGCCUAGAAGUAGGUGACACUAUUUCUGAAUCACUGAGAUUUCCCACUGCAUACUCAUUUUCUGAUUUGUUAAAUGAACUAUCAUCAACAAUAUAGCCAUUGGGAAAAACAGAAGAAAGGAGAGUUUCAUCCCUUCGAUGACCCAUCAGAUUUUCAUGCAUAUGCAAUGUGAUCUCCUUGGCAACCUCUCGUGAUUCUUGUUCCUCAUCAUCUUCAGGUUCAUCACAAAACUCUUCACCCUGUAAUAUUGUUGGUGAUGAGGUAGGUGGCGAAACCACAGCCUUAAUGUCACGAGUCUUCCCAGGGCUAGGCUUCAAUACUACAAUUCGCGUUGGCUGAGCAGCAUAUUCUUCAAACCUCUGAUUGGCAAAAGUAGGAGAACAUCCAGAAUUAUUUUUGUCCCACACAGUAGCUUGCCCAGUCUGGGUUGGAUUAUCUGCCUGCAUAUCACACUUCUUUUCUGGUCCUGCAAACUUUUCAUUACCAAUUGCCUUAGAAGGUCUAAGUACAGUGAUGCGUUUUGUCUCAGGAGGUGGAGGAAUAGACUGCAUAUCAUGAAGAUGUCGAGAGAACAUGGAAUUAGGUUCUUGCAGAAACUUGAUGAAUAAAUCUCUAUUGGAGCUUAAAACUUCUAAUGCAUCUUGGAACUCCUUGGACUGGCGACCUUUCUCAUCUGUCGCCAAACGUUUUGCUUCCAUGAACUUCUGGCGAAUGAGGGUCAUCCUUUUCUCAUUUAUACUUUCAUUUUGCCUUCCCUUGUGUGGAGAAAUAUCUCUUACAUUUA